UACGUAGGGGGCAAGCGUUGUCCGGAAUCAUUGGGCGUAAAGCGCGCGUAGGCGGCCCGGUAAGUCCGUUGUGAAAGUCAAAGGCUCAACCUUUGAACGCCGAUGGAUACUGCCGGGCUAGAGUCCGGAAGAGGCGAGUGGAAUUCCUGGUGUAGCGGUGGAAUUCGCAGAUAUCAGGAGGAACACCAAUAGCGAAGGCAGCUCGCUGGGACGGUACUGACGCUGAGGCGCGAAAGCUAGGGUAGCAAACGGG
rnacentral:rRNA from 1 species